UACGUAGGGUGCAAGCGUUGUCCGGAAUUACUGGGCGUAAAGAGCUCGUAGGUGGUUUGUCGCGUUGUUCGUGAAAACUCACAACUCAAUUGUGGGCGUGCGGGCGAUACGGGCAGACUGGAGUACUGCAGGGGAGACUGGAAUUCCUGGUGUAGCGGUGGAAUGCGCAGAUAUCAGGAGGAACACCGGUGGCGAAGGCGGGUCUCUGGGCCGAUACUGACACUGAGGAGCGAAAGCGUGGGGAGCGAACAGG
rnacentral:rRNA from 1 species